CGUACACUCCUGCGGGAGGCAGCAGUGGGGAAUUUUGGACAAUGGGCGAAAGCCUGAUCCAGCCAUGCCGCGUGCAGGAUGAAGGCCUUCGGGUUGUAAACUGCUUUUGUACGGAACGAAACGGCCUUUUCUAAUAAAGAGGGCUAAUGACGGUACCGUAAGAAUAAGCACCGGCUAACUACGUGCCAGCAGCCGCGGUAAUACGAAGGGUGCAAGCGUUAAUCGGAAUUACUGGGCGUAAAGCGUGCGCAGGCGGUUAUGUAAGACAGUUGUGAAAUCCCCGGGCUCAACCUGGGAACUGCAUCUGUGACUGCAUAGCUAGAGUACGGUAGAGGUGGAUGGAAUUCCGCGUGUAGCAGUGAAAUGCGUAGAUAUGCGGAGGAACACCGAUGGCGAAGGCAAUCCCCUGGACCUGUACUGACGCUCAUGCACGAAAGCGUGGGGAGCAAACAGGAUUAGAAACCCCGGUAGUCCCAUGA
rnacentral:rRNA from 1 species